CCUACGGGAGGCAGCAGUGAGGAAUAUUGGUCAAUGGACGAGAGUCUGAACCAGCCAAGUAGCGUGAAGGAUGACUGCCCUAUGGGUUGUAAACUUCUUUUAUAAAGGAAUAAAACGAGGCACGUGUGCCUUUUUGCAUGUACUUUAUGAAUAAGGAUCGGCUAACUCCGUGCCAGCAGCCGCGGUAAUACGGAGGAUCCGAGCGUUAUCCGGAUUUAUUGGGUUUAAAGGGAGCGUAGAUGGGUUGAUAAGUCAGUUGAGAAAGUUUGCGGCUCAACCGUAAAAGUGCAAUUGAUACUGGCAGUCUUGAGUACAGGUGAGGUAGGCGGAAUUCGUGGUGUAGCGGUGAAAUGCGUAGAUAUCACGAAGAACCCCGAUUGCGAAGGCAGCUUACUAAACUGUGACUGACAUUGAUGCUCGAAAGUGUGGGUAGCAAACAGGAUUAGAUACCCUUGUAGUC
rnacentral:rRNA from 1 species